rnacentral:tRNA from 1 species
GAUGUGGCGGAACUGGUAGACGCACUGGAUUUAGGUUCCAGCGCCGCAAGGCGUGGAGGUUCGAGUCCUCUCAUCCGCACCA